rnacentral:rRNA from 1 species
CGAAAGGGCACUCUAAUGAGACUGCCGGUGACAAACCGGAGGAAGGUGGGGAUGACGUCAAGUCCUCAUGGCCCUUAUGGUAGGGCUACACACGUCAUACAAUGGCCGGUACAAAGGGCAGCCAACCCGCGAGGGGGAGCCAAUCCCGUAAAGCCGGUCGUAGUCCGGAUCGCAGUCUGCAACUCGACUGCGUGAAGUCGGAAUCGCUAGUAAUCGUGGAUCAGCAUGUCACGGUGAAUACGUUCCCGGGCCUU